AGUGAACGCUGGCGGCAGGCCUAACACAUGCAAGUCGAACGGUAGCACAGUACGAGCUGGCGCUUACGGGAGGCGAGUCGCACAGGGGUGAGGAAUACAUCGGGCUGUAUUUUUUCGUGGGGUAUAACGUAGAGACACUUGCGCUAACACCGCAUACUCCCAACGGCAGAAAGCAGGGGCUUUUCGCACCUUGCGCGCUUAAGUGAGCCGAUGUCGGAUUAGCUAGUUGGCGGGGUAAAGGCCCACCAAGGCGACGAUCCGUAGCUGGUCUGAGAGGAUGAUCAGCCACACUGGAACUGAGACACGGUCCAGACUCCUACGGGAGGCAGCAGUGGGGAAUAUUGGACAAUGGGCGCAAGCCUGAUCCAGCCAUACCGCGUGUAUGAAGAAGGCCUUCGGGUUGUAAAGCCCUUUUGUCGGGAAAGAAAAGCAGCAAGUUAAUACCCCUCUGUACUGACGGUACCCAAAGAAUAAGCACCGGCUAACUUCGUG
rnacentral:rRNA from 1 species